GGGUGCAAGGCUGGGCUGGAGCAGCGAGGCUGGGGUGCAAGGCUGGGCUGGAGCAGCGAGGCUGGGAUGCAAGGCUGGGCUGGAGCAGCGAGGCUGGGAUGCAAGGCUGGGCUGGAACAGGAAGGCUGAGGUGCAGGGCUAGGCUGGAGCAGGGAAGCUGGGGUACAGGGCCGGGUUGGAGCAGGGAGUCUAGGGUGCAGGAUUCUAGGGUGCAGGAUUGGGCUGGAGCAGACAGGCUGGGGUGCAGGGCUCGGCUGGAGCAGGGAGGCUGGGGUGCAGGGCUGGGUUGGAACAGGGAGGCUGGGGUGCAGGGCUGGGUUGGAACAGGAAGGCUGGGGUGCAGGGCUGGGUUGGAACAGGGAGGCUGGGGUGCAGGGCUGGGUUGGAACAGGGAGGCUGGGGUGCAGGGCUGGCCAGCCUCAGAACAUGUGUGAGCCUCCACCCUGGCAGGUGGAGGCGUGGGCUCCCUGCUGGGCCACUCAGAUGGAUCUACUGUUUUCUCAUGAGCUCAUCCCUUCCGGCCUGUGAGGCCCACGGGCAGGGCUUUAAUCCCCUAUGUGCUGUUUCCAGAGCCUUCUCCCUGGCCCAGCUCCAGGCAGCCUCUCCAACCCCUUAGAUUCUGCUGGACACACAUAUGGCCCUUGAGCCACAGAGGGUGGUAAUGCCCGCGGCCCCUGUGCGUCCACAGGGCAGGUGCUGGCCAGGCCUCCUCCCUGCUUCAGUCCCCAGAGGAGACCUCGAGCCACAGACCAGUCCCUGUCCCUUCAGGGUGGGGUUAGUUCUGCAAUCCCCCUGCCCACAGCCCCACCCCACAGAAACGUCCACCACGAGCCUUGGUAGUCACGCCCGGAGCCCGAUGGAGACCAGCGGCUCUGAGCUCCCGGGAAAGUGGCCGGGGCCUGGGCCCUGUUCCCAGGAAGCUCAGCAAGGCUCCGUGCCCCACAACCUGGAGGGGUGGGAGGGGAGUCUGGGUUGGGAUGGCUGCACCCUUGGCCCUUGGGGAGGAGCCCCCCACUACCACCCCCGGC
rnacentral:lncRNA from 1 species